AGCUGAUGUUACAUCACCAGGUUGAUCAGACCAGAAGGAAUAUGUUCACCUAGCCGAUGCAAAUUUGAGGUGGAAAAUAAGGACCAAAGGGGUUGAAAUGAGGCAUGGGGUUUCGAAGUGCUGAGAAAAGUCAGCUUGGAAUAAAAAUGCAAAGAAAGAGGGUGGGAGGGAGGAUGGGAGAGAGAGGGAGGGGGAAGGAGAGAGAGAGAUUGAAAAAUCAAUCCCCCAGCCACAGGCAGCCCAGCUGGUGGGCACCAGAUGGGAAAGCGAUGAUCUACAGAUCAGGGCCUGUUAACAAGGCUGAUGGCAACCCAAGGAAACCACCUGCAGCCGGCUUUGCAGAAAAUCAGCACCCAAGGAUGGGGCUUCCAGUAAUCCAUCGCAGGAACCACCGAGCCAUGAACUUGUUAAACGGUAGCCGCUGGAGGCCGGCUCAGCUCACGCUCAGCUGCAAACGGGGCGAAUCUCUGCCACUGGAAGACCAGAUGGCGCCAGUGUUGGUGGUGGUCUCACGGUCCCAACACGCACCUUGGCAGAUGCUGGGGUUGGCAGCUCCCGGGUCAGCUGAACUAACAUUGCCGGCAUCUUCUGAGCGUUUGAGAGGUGCAUCUGUUCGCUCUUCCUGCCUCAUCUCCUGAGUUGCCACCUGGUUCUCCUCUAUCCAACCUAUAGACGCAUCAAGAAGAACAAAAUGCAAUUAUUAGUGAACACGAGCUCUAUGAUGUUGUGUUGGCCUCUGCCACACAUCAACAUGAAUCUGUCACAGCGCUACCUGGAUCUCAUCUCCUUUCCUUGCUGCCUUCACUUCCCCUUGAGGACUAAGGACUGAAGAUCCCC
ensembl:lncRNA